UAGGGAAUCUUCCGCAAUGGACGAAAGUCUGACGGAGCAACGCCGCGUGAGUGAAGAAGGAUUUCGGUUCGUAAAACUCUGUUGUUAGGGAAGAAAAAAUGUAUAGUAACUAUAUACAAAAGAGACGGUACCUAACCAGAAAGCCACGGCUAACUACGUGCCAGCAGCCGCGGUAAUACGUAGGUGGCAAGCGUUGUCCGGAAUUAUUGGGCGUAAAGCGCGCGCAGGUGGUUUAGAAAGUCUGAUGUGAAAGCCCACGGCUCAACCGUGGAGGGUCAUUGGAAACUAAUAAACUUGAGUGCAGGAGAGAAAAGUGGAAUUCCUAGUGUAGCGGUGAAAUGCGUAGAGAUUAGGAGGAACACCGGGGGCGAAAGCGGCUUUUUGGCCUGCAACUGACACUGAGGCGCGAAAGCGUGGGGAGCAAACAGG
rnacentral:rRNA from 1 species